rnacentral:rRNA from 1 species
AUUGAACGCUGGCGGCAUGCCUUACACAUGCAAGUCGAACGGUAACAGGUCUUCGGAUGCUGACGAGUGGCGAACGGGUGAGUAAUACAUCGGAACGUGCCUAGUAGUGGGGGAUAACUACUCGAAAGAGUGGCUAAUACCGCAUGAGAUCUACGGAUGAAAGCAGGGGAUCGCAAGACCUUGUGCUACUAGAGCGGCCGAUGGCAGCUUAGGUAGUUGGUGGGAUAAAAGCUUACCAAGCCGACGAUCUGUAGCUGGUCUGAGAGGACGAUCAGCCACACUGGGACUGGGACUCGGCCCAGACUCCUACGGGAGGCAGCAGUGGGGAAUUUUGGACAAGGGGCGAAAGCCUGAUCCAGCAAUGCCGCGUGCAGGAUGAAGGCCUUCGGGUUGUAAACUGCUUUUGUACGGAACGAAAAGCCCCGGGUUAAUACCCUGGGGUCAUGACGGUACCGUAAGAAUAAGCACCGGCUAACUACGUGCCAGCCGCCGCCGUAA